CACAGACUUGAUUUUUCCAUGUACAGAGGAAAACACUAGGAAAGAGACCAGAAUAGUGCUGUGUGUCAUUUUCCAAGGUGACUGCUAGAGCAGAACAAGGUGCUGAUAUGGAGCCAGCUAUAGAACUGAAUAGUUACAAGACAUGGCUAAUUCACAGUGAGAAAAUAAUGAGGGGUCGUUGGAGGAAAUUUAAGGCCUGGACUUGCACAAAAGACACAAAUAUCUGCUUCUCAGAUGUCACCCCAAGAGAAGUCUGCAAAACUAAGAAUUGUG